rnacentral:rRNA from 1 species
UGGGGAAUCUUCCGCAAUGGACGAAAGUCUGACGGAGCAACGCCGCGUGAGUGAAGAAGGUUUUCGGAUCGUAAAACUCUGUCUUUUGGGGCGAACGUGAGUAUGGUGAACAAUCAUAGUCAGUGACGGUACCAAAGGAGGAAGCCACGGCUAACUACGUGCCAGCAGCCGCGGUAAUACGUAGGUGGCAAGCGUUGUCCGGAAUUAUUGGGCGUAAAGAGCGCGUAGGCGGGAUAGUCAGUCUGUUGUAAAGUGCGGGGCUCAACCCCGUGAUGGCAAUGGAAACAGCUAUUCUUGAGUGCAGGAGAGGAAAGUGGAAUUCCCAGUGUAGCGGUGAAAUGCGUAGAUAUUGGGAGGAACACCAGUGGCGAAGGCGACUUUCUGGACUGUGUCUGACGCUGAGGCGCGAAAGCCAGGGGAGCGAACGGGAUUAGAUACCCCGGUAGUCCUGGCCGUAAACGAUGGGUACUAGGUGUGGGAGGUAUCGACCCCUUCCGUGCCGGAGUUAACGCAAUAAGUACCCCGCCUGGGGAGUACGGUCGCAAGACUGAAACUCAAAGGAAUUGACGGGGUCAUAGCUGUUUCC